AACCUUAUGGACCUGCGGGCGUAUACCUGCGGAGGGAUCAUUAAUGAAUAAACUUGGUCAAGCUGUUGCUGGUCUCUCGGGACAUGUGCACGCUUGCCACCAAUUUUAACCACCUGUGCACUUCUUGUAGAUUGGAAACGUUUCUCGAGGCAACUCGGAUUGAGAACUGCUGUGCGAAAGCCGGCUGUUCUUGUGUUUCUCAGUCUAUGUUUCAUAUACUCCGAAUGUAUGUAUAAGAAU
rnacentral:misc_RNA from 1 species